ACGAACGCGGGCGGCGUGCCUAAUACAUGCAAGUCGAGCGAAUCGAUGGGAGCUUGCUCCCUGAGAUUAGCGGCGGACGGGUGAGUAACACGUGGGCAACCCCCCUAUAAGACUGGGAUAAUUUCGGGAAACCGGAGCUAAUACGGGAUAUUUUUUUUUCUCGCAUGAGAGAAGAUGAAAAGACGGUUUUGCUGUCACUUAUAGAUGGGCCCGCGGCGCAUUAGCUAGUUGGUGAGGUAAUGGCUCACCAAGGCGACGAUGCGUAGCCG
rnacentral:rRNA from 1 species